rnacentral:rRNA from 1 species
AGGGCAUACGGUGAAUGCCUUGGCACUAAGAGCCGAUGAAGGACGUGGUAAGCUGCGAAAAGCUACGGGGAGCCGCAAGCAGGCUUUGAUCCGUAGAUGUCCGAAUGGGGGAACCCACCAUCCGUCAUGGGAUGGUAUCCUUCGGGAAGGGAACCCGGUGAACUGAAACAUCUAAGUAGCCGGAGGAAGAGAAAUCAAACGAGAUGCCCACAGUAGCGGCGAGCGAAGAGGGCAGAGCCUAAACCAGAGAGCUUCGGCUCCCUGGGGUUACGGACUGGCAUAAACCGAGUCAGGCCUAGCCGAAUCACCUGGAAAGGUGAGCCACAGACCGUGAGAGCCGGGUAGGCGAAAGGCAGAGCAAGGGGGCCAGUAUCCAGAGUACCGCGAAGCACGAGGAAUUUUGCGGGAAGUCGGGGGGACCACCCUCCAAGGCUAAACACUUCUUAGUGACCGAUAGCGCAUAGUACCGUGAGGGAAAGGUGAAAAGAACCGCGGGAGCGGAGUGAAAGAGAACCUGAAACCGUAUGUCUACAAGCAGUCGGAGCGCAAGCGACGGCGUGCCUAUUGAAGAAUGAGCCAACGAGUUACGGGCACCAGCGAGGUUAAGCAGGAAAUGCGGAGCCGUAGGGAAACCGAGUCUGAAAAGGGCGAAGAGUUGGUGUUCGUAGACCCGAAACUGUAGUGAUCUACCCAUGAUCAGGUUGAAGCACGGGUAAAAUCGUGUGGAGGACCGAACCGGUGAGUGUUGAAAAACUUUCGGAUGAAUCGUGGGUAGCGGUGAAAUUCCAAUCGAACGCAGAGAUAGCUGGUUCUCCUCGAAAUAGCUUUAGGGCUAGCCUCAGGCAGUAAGCAUAGGCGGUAGAGCACUGAUCGGGAUAGGGACUGUAAUGGUUACCGAACCCUGUCAAACUACGAAUGGUUAUGCUGCAGAGCCUGGGAGUCAGACUACGAGAGAUAAGUCCCGUUGUCAAAAGGGAAACAGCCCAGACCAUCAGCUAAGGUCCCCAAUGCCAUACUAAGUGGAAAAGGAUGUGGGGUCUCAUAAACAACCAGGAUGUUGGCUCAGAAGCAGCCACCAUUUAAAGAGUGCGUAAUAGCUCACUGGUCGAGAGGCCCUGCGCCGAAGAUUCCCGGGGCUAAAGUAUGGAACCGAAGCUAUGGAUGCAUACGUAGGUAUGCGUGGUAGAGGAGCGUUCCCAUCGGGUUGAAGUCGUCCUGGAAGGGACGGUGGACUGGUGGGAAGUGAGAAUGUUGGCAUGAGUAGCGAAAAGAAUGGUGAGAAUCCAUUCCACCGAAAGCAUAAGGAUUCCUGAGCAACGAUCGUCGUCUCAGGGUAAGUCGGGACCUAAUCCGAGGCAAAGAGCGUAGGAGAUGGACAACUGGUUGAUAUUCCAGUACCGGCAGUGAUCGUUUGAACGAAGGAGUGACGCAGGAAGGCAGGUCCGCACGAGAUUGGUAGAUCGUGUGCAAGCGUGCAGGCUGGUUACCAGGCAAAUCCGGUAACUGAGGCUGAGGCGUGAUGCGGAGGGAACUUGUUCCCGAAGGGAUUGAGCCUACGCUGCCGAGAAAAGCUUCUAGUGAGAAAGCUGCCGCCCGUACCGUAAACCGACACAGGUAUGCGGGGAGAGAAUCCUAAGGUGCGCGGGAGAACCCUCGUUAAGGAACUCGGCAAAAUGUACCCGUAACUUCGGGAUAAGGGUAGCCACAAAGGUGAAGGGACUAGCUCCCGGAGCCCGGUGUGGUCGCAGAGAAGAGGCCCAAGCGACUGUUAACCAGAAACACAGGUGCCUGCGAAAGAGAAAUCUGAAGUAUAGGUGCUGACACCUGCCCAGUGCUGGAAGGUUAAAGAAGGAUGUCCGGGUUCGACCCAAAGCAUUCGACUGAAGCCCCAGUGAACGGCGGCCGUAACUAUAACGGUCCUAAGGUAGCGAAAUUCCUUGUCGGGUAAGUUCCGACCCGCACGAAAGGUGUAACGAUUUGGGCACUGUCUCAACGAGGGACCCGGUGAAAUUGAAAUACCUGUGAAGAUGCAGGUUACCCGCGACUGGACAGAAAGACCCCAUGGAGCUUUACUGUAACCUAAUAUUGGGUUCUGAUACUUGAUGCACAGGAUAGGUGGGAGGCAUGGAAGGCAGUCCUCUGGGAUUGCCGGAGCCGACGUUGGGAUACCACCCUUCAAUUAUCGGGAUUCUAACCGAGCGAGUAACGAUCGCCGGGACAGUGUUAGGCGGGCAGUUUGACUGGGGCGGUCGCCUCCCAA